CUAAAACCUAGGAAAUGAUCAAACAAUUUUCUAUUUAUUACAUUUAAAGGAGAAGAAACAUGACUACAUUUCUCAAAGUUGCUUAUAUUAUGAUCAUAUGUGUCUUUGUGCUUCACCUUGCAGCCCAAGUUGAUUCACAAAAAAGAUUACAUGGAUGCAAGGAAGACAGAGAUUGUGAUAACAUCUGCUCCGUACAUGCUGUUACAAAGUGCAUUGGGAAUAUGUGUCGCUGCUUAGCCAAUGUAAAAUAAAUGAAUUGUAA